rnacentral:rRNA from 1 species
GACGAACGCUGGCGGCGUGCUUAACACAUGCAAGUCGAACGGAAAGGCCCUGCUUGCAGGGUACUCGAGUGGCGAACGGGUGAGUAACACGUGGGUGAUCUGCCCUGCACUUCGGGAUAAGCCUGGGAAACUGGGUCUAAUACCGGAUAGGAGCCAUUUUUAGUGUGAUGGUUGGAAAGUUUUUUCGGUGUAGGAUGAGCUCGCGGCCUAUCAGCUUGUUGGUGGGGUAAUGGCCUACCAAGGCGGCGACGGGUAGCCGGCCUGGGGGGGUGGACGGCCACAAUGGGACUGAGGUGAGGCCCAGGUGCCGAAGGGGGGCAAGAGGGGGGAAGAUUGGACAAGGGGCGCAAGCCUGAUGCAGCGACGCCGCGGGGGGGAAGACGGCCUUCGGGUUGGAAACACCUUUCGCUAGGGACGAAGCUUUUUGUGACGGUACCUAGAGAAGAAGCACCGGCUAACUACGUG